AGAACGAACGCUGGCGGCAUGCCUAACACAUGCAAGUCGAACGAGACCUUCGGGUCUAGUGGCGCACGGGUGCGUAACGCGUGGGAAUCUGCCCUUGGGUUCGGAAUAGCAGCGAGAAAUUGCUGCUAAUACCGGAUGAUGACGUAAGUCCAAAGAUUUAUCGCCCAAGGAUGAGCCCGCGUAGGAUUAGCUUGUUGGUGAGGUAAGAGCUCACCAAGGCGACGAUCCUUAGCUGGUCUGAGAGGAUGAUCAGCCACACUGGGACUGAGACACGGCCCAGA
rnacentral:rRNA from 1 species